rnacentral:rRNA from 1 species
GACGAACGCUGGCGGCGUGCUUAACACAUGCAAGUCGAACGGAAAGGCCCUGCUUGCAGGGUACUCGAGUGGCGAACGGGUGAGUAACACGUGGGUGAUCUGCCCUGCACUUCGGGAUAAGCCUGGGAAACUGGGUCUAAUACCGGAUAGGAGCCAUCUUUAGUGUGAUGGUUGGAAAGUUUUUUCGGUGUAGGAUGAGCUCGCGGCCUAUCAGCUUGUUGGUGGGGUAAUGGCCUACCAAGGCGGCGACGGGUAGCCGGCCUGAGAGGGUGGACGGCCACAUUGGGACUGAGAUACGGCCCAGACUCCUACGGGGGGCAGCAGUGGGGAAUAUUGCACAAUGGGCGCAAGCCUGAUGCAGCGACGCCGCGUGGGGGAUGACGGGCUUCGGGUUGUAAACUCCUUUCGGUAGGGACGAAGCUUUUUGUGACGGUACCUAGAUAAGAAGCACCGGCUAACUACGUG